CAAAGAUGUGGGGGAAGAGAUUCUCUAGAAGCAAGGAGCAGCACAAACAAAGCAAAGGGAAUGUGCAUCUGAGAAAAUAAGUGGUCUAGAUCCACUGAUGAGAGGAAAGGAUUAAUAAAAGAGGAUGUCAUUCAAUCCGAAAGCCUUAGAGAUCCAUCCCAACUCCAAGCCUGUAUGGUGGUAUGGGGUGGAUAGAGAUGAUGUCCCACAAAGCAGAAGUACAGAACGGGAGUGAAACGAGACCCAACAACAGAGAGGAAAGAUUAACAGGAAGUCCUUGCUUAGGUUGGUAAGAAGCAUCAAGCUUUCAAGACUAAUGAUUUAUCUGCAUUCAAAACAAGUUCAAUUAUUGAAGCAGAACAACCCAGUAUUCAAAUCUAAAAGUCUGACAGGUUUUGUACUGUGGUUUGAAACUUAACUAUGUGAAAUAACUUGAUGGCAAUUAAAAUGAUUUAUUCUGUC